rnacentral:rRNA from 1 species
UACGAAGGGGGCGAGCGUUGUCCGGAAUUAUUGGGCGUAAAGAGCUCGUAGGCGGUUUGUCGCGUCUGUCGUGAAAGCUUGGGGCUUAACCCCAAGUCUGCGGUGGAUACGGGCAGACUAGAGGCAGGUAGGGGAGAACGGAAUUCCCGGUGUAGCGGUGAAAUGCGCAGAUAUCGGGAGGAACACCGGUGGCGAAGGCGGUUCUCUGGGCCUGUACUGACGCUGAGGAGCGAAAGCGUGGGGAGCGAACAGG